GGUAAUGCCGGAUGCUCCGGUUGGAUGCAUGUCCUUCCGGGAAAGGUUCCAUCGGUAUGGGAUGGGGUCGCGUCCUAUCAGCUUGAUGGCGGGGUAACGGCCCACCAUGGCUUCGACGGGUAGCCGGCCUGAGAGGGCGACCGGCCACAUUGGGACUGAGAUACGGCCCAGACUCCUACGGGAGGCAGCAGUGGGGAAUAUUGCACAAUGGGCGCAAGCCUGAUGCAGCGACGCCGCGUGCGGGAUGGAGGCCUUCGGGUUGUAAACCGCUUUUGAUCGGGAGCAAGCCCUUCGGGGUGAGUGUACCCUUCGAAUAAGCACCGGCUAACUACGUGCCAGCAGCCGCGGUAAUACGUAGGGUGCAAGCGUUAUCCGGAAUUAUUGGGCGUAAAGGGCUCGUAGGCGGUUCGUCGCGUCCGGUGUGAAAGCCCAUCGCUUAACGGUGGGUCUGCGCCGGGUACGGGCGGGCUGGAGUGCGGUAGGGGAGACUGGAAUUCCCGGUGUAACGGUGGAAUGUGUAGAUAUCGGGAAAGAACACCA
rnacentral:rRNA from 1 species